UGUACAUUAUUAUAAAAUGUGUUCAGGUUAAAGUAACGUCUGUAUUAUACAAGAUAAUAUAAGUUAAGAGGAUAAGGCCCAGUGACGUGGCUCAUUCUCAAUUUUUUUAAUUAGUAGUUAGAAUCAAUGUUUUUUUUCCCAAUAGCAUCUUUCAAUGUAAAACAAACAAAGAAAAGAGUUUAUCUUAUUUUUCUAUAUCGCUUUUUUUUCAUAUCGUGAAUAACGUAUGUAGCUUGAUGUCAAUAAAAUGUAUUCCAUAUAGUCAUUCAAAUUAAAUGUAUUUAAGUGUUUUG